GCGUGCCCGGCGCAUCGGGACGGGCCGCUCGACGGAAAGCACAGCCCAGGUGGGAGGAGGAGGCGGCGGCAGCACGACGGCUGCGGUGCUGGGAGGCUGGAAGCGGCUGCGGGGCAUGGGCCAAGCUGAGGCUAUGGCUGCCUACCUGGCUCUGGCGGCGCAGUGUCCGGGGUUCGGCGCUGCUCGGAGCCUGGUGGAGGUGCUCCACAGAAGCUCUGCCUUGGUCUGGGAGCAAAGGCCAUGUCGCUCUCCAGGCCUGGUGAAUCAGAACCCAUCCACAGUGUCAGCUAUGGUCAUGUGGCCGCCUGCCAGCUAAUAGGCCCUCACACCAGAGGGCAGCAAUGGGUGUGGACAGUUUUCUAGUUUGUUUCUUAAUUUAUUUGUAGAAGAAAAAAAUCGCUAUUUAC
rnacentral:lncRNA from 1 species